rnacentral:rRNA from 1 species
UACGUAGGGUGCGAGCGUUGUCCGGAAUUACUGGGCGUAAAGAGCUCGUAGGUGGUUUGUCGCGUUGUUCGUGAAAACUCACAACUCAAUUGUGGGCGUGCGGGCGAUACGGGCAGACUGGAGUACUGCAGGGGAGACUGGAAUUCCUGGUGUAGCAGUGAAAUGCGUAGAUAUCAGGAGGAACACCGAUGGCGAAGGCAGGUCUCUGGGCUGACACUGACGCUCAUGCACGAAAGCGUGGGGAGCAAACAGG